CUUGGUCAUUUAGAGGAAGUAAAAGUCGUAACAAGGUUUCCGUAGGUGAACCUGCGGAAGGAUCAUUAAUGAAAUCAUAGCGGUCGUCUGUGCUGGUGGUGACACAUGUGCACGUCAAUUGCAAAUCCACACACCUGUGCACCUUUGACUGUGAGGUCCGCUUGUUGGUUUGUUCUGACAAGCACGCUGGUCAAACAUUCGUGUUAGACCCGGGUCUCACCGGUAUUUUUUAUACACUCCUGAAUGUAAUGGGAACGUACAUGCGUAACCGCAAAUAAAUACAACUUUCAACAACGGAUCUCUUGGCUCUCGCACCGAUGAAGAACGCAGCGAAAUGCGAUAAGUAAUGUGAAUUGCAGAAUUCAGUGAAUCAUCGAAUCUUUGAACGCACCUUGCACCCUUUGGUAUUCCGAAGGGUACGCCCGUUUGAGUGUCAUUGUAAUCUCACCUCUGCAACCUCGGUCGUGUGAAGUGGAGUUGGGCAGUGUCGUGUAAAGACGACUGGCCUGAACUGCGUGAGUGUACCCUGCAGCCGCAGCGUCUUCAGUGCUGAUAAAUGUCUUCACUGAUCAAAGUUCCUCUGGGACACGUCAGCGAUGUGGGCUCUGCGCUGCGAACCGUCUGUGAAGACA
rnacentral:rRNA from 1 species